rnacentral:lncRNA from 1 species
CCUGCACUGCCCCAAGAAGUUUGCACUCUCCUGCCUACUCCCUAUGCUUAGUUUGUAAUAGAGUACUAAAUAUUGACCUUAUCCAUUUCCGCUCUUUGUCAGGCUUUGUUUAUGGCUCAGAAGCAGCACAUGGAGGGUGGAGGAGCUUGCAUUUCUUCAUGCUUAUAUUAACCACUGGCUCCAGAUCAAGAAAUAUGUGAGCAGCAUUUAUUAAAUAUGAUCAAUUGCAGACCUGUGAGAUUAUAAUCAUGAGUAAAGCCUCAAGAGCAUGGAAAGAACAGUUUCACAGUGGGAGGCUGAUGAGGAGACAACAAGGAAUUCCAGAGCUCUGCUUCUUGCUGAAGUGGGAAGAGAUAGAAGUGAAAAGGACUGAUAGCUUGCAGGAGGAGCRGUCCAUCAGGAGAGGGAGAAGACAUGAAAAUUCUCAUUACUGUUCUCAGGUAUGUUAUUGUUUGUGUAUGAAUAUAUGAGAUAGCAAGAGAGCUGCUCCUCUCAGUGUUUUUUGUU